UACGUAGGGGGCAAGCGUUGUCCGGAAUUAUUGGGCGUAAAGCGCGUGUAGGCGGUUUGGUAGGUCCGCUGUGAAAACUCGAGGCUCAACCUCGAGACGCCGGUGGAAACCAUCAGGCUAGAGUCCGGAAGAGGAGAGUGGAAUUCCUGGUGUAGCGGUGAAAUGCGCAGAUAUCAGGAAGAACGCCCGUGGCGAAGGCGGCUCUCUGGGACGGUACUGACGCUGAGACGCGAAAGCGUGGGGAGCGAACAGG
rnacentral:rRNA from 1 species